rfam:Helianthus annuus linkage group 8, whole genome shotgun sequence.
UCACUUACCUGGACGAGGUCAAUGGGUGAUCAAGAAGGUCCAUGGCCUAGGUUGGUGACCUCCAUUGCACUUUGGAGGGGUGCCUGCCUAAGGUCGGCCCAAGUGGUCGAGCCUACGUCAUAAUUUGUGGCAGUGGAGGCCUGCGUCCGCGCGGCCUCUAC